rnacentral:rRNA from 1 species
CCUACGGGAGGCUGCAGUAGGGAAUCUUUCACAAUGGGCGAAAGCCUGAUGGAGCAACGCCGCGUGCAGGAUGAAGGCCUUCGGGUUGUAAACUGCUUUUAUAAGCGAGAAAUAUGAUGGUAACUUAUGAAUAAGGAUCGGCUAACUACGUGCCAGCAGCCGCGGUCAUACGUAGGAUCCGAGCAUUAUCCGGGGUGACUGGGUGUAAAGAGUUGCGUAGGUGGCAUAAUAAGUAGCUAGUGAAAUCUGGUGGCUCAACCAUUCAGACUAUUAGCUAAAAUGUUAAGCUCGAGAACGUUAGGGGUAACUGGAAGUUCUAGUGUAGGAGUGAAAUCCGUAGAUAUUAGAAGGAACACCAAUAGCGUAGGCAGGUUACUGGGACGGUUCUGACACUAAGGCACGAAAGCGUAGGGAGCAAACGGGAUUAGAUACCCUUGUAGUC